CAGACCUUGUAUUAGGAGGAUGUGGCCCAGAGUGGGCUAAGAGUAUUUGAGAAGCAGAACAGGAUUCACAGCGGGAGGGUCGAGAGCGAAGAGCGAAGAAGCCUGGACUGGAGGGAUUUCUAACCACUUGCCCUUGCGGCGGCAGAAGUUAUGGAAGUCCGGUAGAAUAUUAUAAUCGGGAGUUCCAUUUUCUGGUCAUUGGGACCUGUUAUCAAGUCUGCAUUGCGGCCAGACAGCGCUAGAAGAGUGGACCUUCACAUAAUCGUGAAGCAAUCCUGGAAGAAGUUUAUGCUAGCACACCUGACCUGAGGGACCAGCCAAUCCCGGAUGCAGACUGGGCCCCGUACGCCGAUGGCACCGGACUGGUGAAACAAGGACAGCGGCUGUCGGGGCACGCGGUAGUCACAGAGAAGACCGGCGUCGAGGCUGGCUCUCAGCCAUCCCACUCGUCUGCUCAACGGGCCGAAUUAUGGGCUCUAAUGCAGGCCCUCCAGUUGUCAAAAGGUCAGUGCUGCUCCCGGACAUAAACAGAAAACUCCAGGAAUACAGUUAAAGAGCACCCUUCCCUUUGAACAUUCAGAAGUGGACUUUACUGAGAUGAAACCCUACAGACACUAUCGUUAUUUACUGGUCAUGGUAUGUACCUUCUCAGGAUAGGUAGAGGCCUUCCCCA
ensembl:lncRNA